GCUGGCGUAGCUCAGUUGGUAGAGCAGCUGAUUUGUAAUCAGCAGGUCGGGGGUUCAAGUCCCUUCGCCAGCUCCA
rnacentral:tRNA from 1 species